CUCAACUUUUCUAUAUGCAGUCUUUCUGAUAGCAAAAAAUGUUUCUCAGUAGGUUUGUCUGGGGCAGCCUCCAUCCUGCAAGUGCUGUCAGGAAGCAAAGGAGGCAGGAAACUGGCAGGACUCAGCAAGGACCUGCCAGUCAAACUGAAGAAGAAGGGCAUGUGCAAGCAAAGGAAACAGUGAUGCAUCACCCGGGAGGAAUACAGGGAUGCUGUCUGGAUGUGCACAGGAACGUGAACAUGGAAGAAGAGCCUGGCGUGGAAAACCACUGAGUUCUGACACAUUCCAUUUGCUCCUAACUCUUUGAUUUCUACUCACAGAAUCUGACAUAUGUUGGGCAUUGACCUUGCUCUUUUAAAUAAGCUUAUUUUAGAAGACCUUUGCAAAAUGCUGUCUGUUUGGCCUCGAUGUAAGCUGUGAGAGAAAUGUAGUACAAACACAGAAGUUGUAUGUUUUGAAUGCCAGAGAUGUUACACCAAAGAGCAGUUGGUGUGAUCUAU